rnacentral:rRNA from 1 species
CCUACGGGAGGCAGCAGUAGGGAAUCUUCCACAAUGGGCGCAAGCCUGAUGGAGCAACACCGCGUGAGUGAAGAAGGGUUUCGGCUCGUAAAGCUCUGUUGUUGGAGAAGAACGUGCGUGAGAGUAACUGUUCACGCAGUGACGGUAUCCAACCAGAAAGUCACGGCUAACUACGUGCCAGCAGCCGCGGUAAUACGUAGGUGGCAAGCGUUAUCCGGAUUUAUUGGGCGUAACGCGAGCGCAGGCGGUUGCUUAGGUCUGAUGUGAAAGCCUUCGGCUUAACCGAAGAAGUGCAUCGGAAACCGGGCAACUUGAGUGCAGAAGAGGACAGUGGAACUCCAUGGGUAGCGGUGGAAUGCGUAGAUAUAUGGAAGAACACCAGUGGCGAAGGCGGCUGUCUGGUCUGCAACUGACGCGGAGGCUCGAAAGCAUGGGUAGCGAACAGGAUUAGAUACCCUGGUAGUC